UACGGAGGGUGCAAGCGUUAAUCGGAAUUACUGGGCGUAAAGGGCGCGUAGGUGGUUCAGUAAGUUGGGUGUGAAAGCCCCGGGCUUAACCUGGGAAUUGCAUUCAAGACUGCUGGACUAGAGUGUAGUAGAGGGAAGCGGAAUUCCGGGUGUAGCGGUGAAAUGCGUAGAUAUCCGGAGGAACACCAGUGGCGAAGGCGGCUUCCUGGACUAACACUGACACUGAGGCGCGAAAGCGUGGGGAGCAAACAGG
rnacentral:rRNA from 1 species